CAAGCCCUCGCUGUGAGGUUCGCACAGUGAGGACGCUUUCCACAGACCGUGUCAGGACUUCAGCAGCGCCUGCAAGGGGACUCAGAGAACAAGUAGGAACUUCCGCCCGUUGGUCGCUAGAGGGAGACACACAAGCACUUGGGUCCAGCAGGCACUGCCCGCCCAGCCACGCCAGUCAGUGGUGCAAGAUUGUGACUGCAUCCACUUCCCGUUAUGGCCCUCAGCCCAGGGUGGAAUCAUUGCAGAGCAGCUCGCCCAAGGCUGAUCAAGCCACGCUCUCGCUGAAGAACCUCUGAAUUUAGCAUGAACCUCGACAGAACGAAACUCCCGGAGGCUGGCCCCAUGCUACCUUCGAAGAAGUAAUGUUUGGCCCUUAGCGUGUAAUUCUAGGACCUGUGACUGUAACUGCUUUGUGUACGCAUCAGUGACAUCAAACACUCCUGAGUGCCGGCAUUGUUUACCCACUGAGCUACAUCCCCC